GAUGAACGCUGGCGGCGUGCCUAAUACAUGCAAGUCGAGCGAACGGACGAGAAGCUUGCUUCUCUGAUGUUAGCGGCUGACGGGUGAGUAACACGUGGAUAACCUACCUAUAAGACUGGGAUAACUUCGGGAAACCGGAGCUACUACCGGAUAAUAUUUUGAACCGCAUGGUUCAAAAGUGAAAGACGGUCUUGCUGUCACUUAUAGAUGGAUCCGCGCUGCAUUAGCUAGUUGGUAAGGUAACGGCUUACCAAGGCAACGAUGCGUAGCCGACCUGAGAGGGUGAUCGGCCACACUGGAACUGAGGCACGGUCCAGACUCCUACGGGAGGCAGCAGUAGGGAAUCUUCCGCAAUGGGCGAAAGCCUGACGGAGCAACGCCGCGUGAGUGAUGAAGGUCUUCGGAUCGUAAAACUCUGUUAUUAGGGAAGAACAUAUGUGUAAGUAACUGUGCACGUCUUGACGGUACCUAAUCAGAAAGCCACGGCUAACUACGUG
rnacentral:rRNA from 1 species